rnacentral:rRNA from 1 species
GGCAACAUGAGAGAGAACCUGUCUCCUAAGGAAUGCCAAUGAAAUUGAACUGCCAGUUCAAAAGCUGGUAUAAAAAAGCAAGACAAAAAGACCCUGUGGAACUUUAAUUAACUGCUUUACAUAAUAAAACCAGUAAUUUCAGUUGGGACAACUUUAGAAAAAAUAAACUUCCUAAUUUUACUAGACUAACUAGUCCAAAACAACCAUGACCCAGUAGUACUGAUUAACGAAACAAGCUACCCCAGGGAUAACAGCGCUACCUUCUCAAAGAGUUCAUAUCAACAAGAAGAUCUACGACCUCGAUGUUGGAUCAGGGUACCCAGACGGUGCAGCAGCUGUCAAUGGUUCGUUUGUUCAACGAUUAAUACCCU